rnacentral:ribozyme from 1 species
UUCAACACCGUUACACAAAAACAGUGACUACCGGAGUAGGAUCUCAAACUCUCUUGAAUAUCUUAUUCUAAACCCAUCCUCGUCAUACAGAGUGGCAACUUGUACCAUCCUAUGUUCAGUCUUGGUUUCACGGGCGAGUUCCAAUCUCUAGAGCAGAUGGUGGUGCAUUACAAAACAGCGAGAG